AUUGAACGCUGGCGGCAUGCCUUACACAUGCAAGUCGAACGGCAGCGGGGGAGAAGCUUGCUUUUCCUGCCGGCGAGUGGCGAACGGGUGAGUAAUACAUCGGAACGUGCCCUGUAGUGGGGGAUAACUAGUCGAAAGAUUAGCUAAUACCGCAUACGACCUGAGGGUGAAAGUGGGGGACCGCAAGGCCUCAUGCUAUAGGAGCGGCCGAUGUCUGAUUAGCGAGUUGGUGGGGUAAAGGCCUACCAAGGCGACGAUCAGUAGCUGGUCUGCAAGGACGAUCAGCCCCACUGGGACUGAGACACGGCCCAGGCGCCUACGGGAGGCAGCAGUGGGGAAUUUUGGACAAUGGGCGAAAGCCUGAUCCAGCAAUGCCGCGUGUGUGAAGAGGGCCUUCGGGUUGUAAAGCACUUUUGUCCGGAAAGAAAUGGCUCUGGUUAAUACCUGGGGUCGAUGACGGUACCGGAAGAAUAAGGACCGGCUAACUACGUGCCAGCCGCCGCCGUAA
rnacentral:rRNA from 1 species